GAUGAACGCUAGCGGCAUGCUUAAUACAUGCAAGUCGAGGGGCAGCAUGAAGUAUCAAUACUUUGAUGUCCACCAGCAAACGGGUUCGGAACACGUACACAACCUUCCUUUAAGUGGGGACUAGCCCAGAGAAAUGUGGAUUAAUACCCCGUAACACAACGAAGUGGCAUCACUUUGUUGUUAUAUUGUCGGCUCUUAAUGAUAAGUGUGCGUAUGAUUAGAUAGUUGGCGAGGUAACGGCUCACCAAGUCUACGAUCAUUAGCUGAUGUGAGAGCAUGAUCAGCGACACGGGAACAGAGACACGGGCACGAGUACUACGACACGCCGCAGUCAGGAAUAUUGGGCAAUGGACGCAAGUAUGAAACAGCCAUGCAGAGUGAAGGCUUAAGGUCCUGUGGAUUGUAAGCAUCUCUUAUAUGGGUAGAAAAAAGGUACCUCUAGUCCCAUUGACGGUACCAUAUGAAUAAGCACCGGCUAACUCCGUG
rnacentral:rRNA from 1 species